AGAACAAAACAAAGAGGGAAAUAAGAUUGCUAUUGUAGGUGUCGGUGCUGCGGGAAAAGCGUCCGUGAAUUUAUUACCAUCAGACAACAAUCGAUGUGCCCUAUUAUACAUUAAUACAUUAACCUUAAACAAGAUUCCAGCGAGCAUUCAUUAUGCCGUAAUUUGGAAAUGUUGCAUUGACUCAUGAGAAACAUAGUAACUGGUGGGUGAAGAGCCUGAUAUGUGCUCU